UACGGGGGGAGCAAGCGUUGUUCGGAUUUACUGGGCGUAAAGGGCGCGUAGGCGGUCGUGACAGGUCACUUGUGAAAUCUCCGGGCUUAACUCGGAACGGUCAAGUGAUACUGUCGGACUAGAGUACAGAAGGGGCAACUGGAAUUCUCGGUGUAGCGGUGAAAUGCGUAGAUAUCGAGAGGAACACCUGCGGCGAAGGCGGGUUGCUGGGCUGAUACUGACGCUGAGGCGCGAAAGCCAGGGGAGCAAACGGG
rnacentral:rRNA from 1 species